rnacentral:rRNA from 1 species
GGAGUUAGCCGGUGCUUCUUCUGUGAGUGAUGUCCUUCCUGCCGGCUAUUAACCCGCAGGCCUUCUUCCUCACUGAAAGUGCUUUACAACCCGAAGGCCUUCUUCACACACGCGGCAUGGCUGGAUCAGGGUUGCCCCCAUUGUCCAAUAUUCCCCACUGCUGCCUCCCGUAGGAGUCUGGGCCGUGUCUCAGUCCCAGUGUGGCUGAUCAUCCUCUCAGACCAGCUACGGAUCGUCGCCUUGGUGAGCCGUUACCUCACCAACCAGCUAAUCCGACAUAGGCUCAUCCGAUAGCGCGAGGCCCGAAGGUCCCCCGCUUUCCCCCGUAGGGCGUAUGCGGUAUUAGCCUGGGUUUCCCCAGGUUAUCCCCCACUACCGGGCAGAUUCCUAUGCAUUACUCACCCGUCCGCCGCUCGCCACCAGGGAGCAAGCUCCCCGUGCUGCCGCUCGACUUGCAUGUGUUAGGCCUGCCGCCAGCGUUCAAUCUGAGCCAGAAUCGAAACCUCGACGUACGUAGACGGGCGGUCGCGGACGACGGCCGCUAAG